CCAGCCGUUCCGCGUGAGUGGAGAAGGCCUUCGGGUUGUAAAGCUCUUUCAGCCGGAAAGAAACGGUACGCUCUAACAUAGCGUGCUAAUGACGGUACCGGCAGAAGAAGCACCGGCUAACUACGUGCCAGCAGCCGCGGUAAUACGUAGGGUGCGAGCGUUAAUCGGAAUUACUGGGCGUAAAGCGUGCGCAGGCGGAUUAUUAAGCAAGACGUGAAAGCCCCGGGCUUAACCUGGGAAUGGCGUUUUGAACUGGUAGUCUAGAGUGUGUCAGAGGGGGGUGGAAUUCCACGUGUAGCAGUGAAAUGCGUAGAGAUGUGGAGGAACACCAAUGGCGAAGGCAGCCCCCUGGGAUGACACUGACGCUCAUGUACGAAAGCGUGGGUAGCAAACAGGAUUAGAUACCCUGGUAGUCCACGCCCUAAACGAUGUCAACUGGUUGUUGGGGGAGUGAAAUCCCUUAGUAACGAAGCUAACGCGUGAAGUUGACCGCCUGGGGAGUACGGUCGCAAGAUUAAAACUCAAAUGAAUUGACGGA
rnacentral:rRNA from 1 species